CUUUCUUUUUUUCUUCUGAUCGAUUUGCUGGAUUGUUUUCCCUAAUUCAAUUUCUAUCCUAAGAUUCUCUAUCCUAGGGUUUACCAUCUCUCAGUAAUGGGGGAGAAGGAUGCGAUUUUGAAAAUAUGGUUUAUGAUGGGUAUUUCUGCAUAUUGUACUGUCAUGGCAAAGAAAAGAAAAAUGCAAUUGAGAUGUUGAGACAUGGAAUGGUGGAUGAGGCGUAGGCAAUUACCAUCCACUCUGAGACGUAGAGUUAGUCACUUUGAACGUUAUAGAGUUGGUUGACUACAAGAGGAGUUGAUGAGAUGGAGUUAAUAAAAGGCUUGCCUGAGGGGCU